GUAGUCUGCCAUACGCAGGAAGACCCGCUGAACUGAAGCAUCUCAUUAAGCGGAGGAAAAGAAACUAACUAGGAUUCCCUUAGUAAAGGCGAUCGAAAAGGGAACAGCCCAACGUCUUAAUCCCGCAAGGGAAAUGUAGUCGGUUCACCUAUUGCACUGGUCUAAGUCAGAUGGAAUGCUGCGCGAUUCAGAGUAAAAGCCUCGUAUGACCAACCGCAAGCUUACGAUGGACCGGGGAGAGUCGGAUACUUUGAGAGUAGUGUCUUAAGGGGGUGGUAUGUCCCAUCCAAGGCUAAAUAACGUGAGGAGACCGAUAGAUUACAAGUAGUGUGAACGAAAGAUGAAAAGAACUCUAAAACAGAGGGUGAAAAGUUCCUGAACUUGCUUAGGGUUAAGGCUAUUUAUAGUACCCGUCUUGAAACACGGAUUAGGGAGUUUAUCUGUAGUGCGAGUCUUUGCACGUUAACUGUAAAGGCGUAGAGAAAGCAACUGGCGUUUGCAUGGCUACUGAGCAUUACUGAUAGGACCCGAAAGGUGGUGAACUUUGCCUGCACAGGUUGAAGUCAGGGGAAACUCUGAUGGAGGACCGUACGGGUUAUUGAUG
rfam:Trichomonas vaginalis G3, whole genome shotgun sequence.